CCCCUUUUAAAAGCACUCCUUGGGCCUCUUGCUAAGGACCCAAUGAGCUGUCAAGAAAGGGCAAAGUUAAAACACCACUUUUGGGUGAAGCAGCAGCAUGUUGUGUUGUUUUGCUUCCAUCAGUGAUAUGACAAGG